rnacentral:tRNA from 1 species
AAGAGGUAGUAUAAUAAAUUACAUAAAAUUGCAAAUUUUAAAAUACUAAAUAAGUCUUUUUU